ACGGGAGGCAGCAGUGGGGAAUAUUGCACAAUGGGCGCAAGUCUGAUGCAGCAACGCCGCGUGAGGGAAGACGGUCUUCGGAUUGUAAACCUUUGUCUUUGGUGAAGAAGCAAUGACGGUAGCCAAGGAGGAAGCCACGGCUAACUACGUGCCAGCAGCCGCGGUAAUACGUAGGUGGCAAGCGUUGUCCGGAAUUACUGGGUGUAAAGGGAGCGCAGGCGGGACAGCAAGUUGGAUGUGAAAUACCGAGGCUUAACCACGGAGCUGCAUCCAAAACUGUUGUUCUUGAGUGAAGUAGAGGCAGGCGGAAUUCCGAGUGUAGCGGUGAAAUGCGUAGAUAUUCGGAGGAACACCAGUGGCGAAGGCGGCCUGCUGGGCUUUAACUGACGCUGAGGCUCGAAAGUGUGGGGAGCAAACAGGGUUAGAUACCCUGGUA
rnacentral:rRNA from 1 species